CUGCUGUUGUUGCAUGGCCUGCACAGCUUCAGUGAGGCCCCUGACCUGCUGCACCAGUAGGUCGAAUAUCUCUAUGCCAACCGCCAUUGCCGGAGGAGGGGGUAGAGGCUGGGAGACUGGAGGUGAGGUCGGAGCUUGAGAUCUGGCCGCGGAGGCCGAGGAUCGUCGUGUGGAUGCUUUGUGAGGAGGCAUCGGGCGAAGAUUGAGUGGGGGAAGGAGGAGUAGAUGUCGGAGAAGAUGACCAGAGGCGGUCCCGUUGAGCGCUCCUUUAAGAACAAGGG
rnacentral:lncRNA from 1 species